GUCGAGAAUAAUUCACAAUGGGGGCAACCCUGAUGGUGCAACGCCGCGUGGAGGAUGAAGGUCUUCGGAUUGUAAACUCCUGUCAUCCGGGAGUAAGACCUGGCGAUGAAUAGUCGACAGGGUUGAUAGUACCGGAAGAGGAAGGGACGGCUAACUUCGUGCCAGCAGCCGCGGUAAUACGAAGGUCCCGAGCGUUGUUCGGAAUCACUGGGCGUAAAGGGAGCGUAGGCGGCGUGGUAAGUCAGAUGUGAAAUCCCGGGGCUCAACCCCGGAACUGCAUCCGAUACUGCCGUGCUAGAGGAUUGGAGAGGUAGCUGGAAUUCACGGUGUAGCAGUGAAAUGCGUAGAUAUCGUGAGGAACACUCGUGGCGAAAGCGAGCUACUGGACAACUCCUGACGCUGAGGCUCGAAGGCCAGGGUAGCGAAAGGGAUUAGAUACCCCGGUAGUCC
rnacentral:rRNA from 1 species